ACCCGGGUGCUGGAAUUGGUAGACAGGCACGGUUGAGGGCCGUGUGUACUCGUUACGUGUGGGUUCAAGUCCCAUCCCGGGUACUA
rnacentral:tRNA from 1 species